AAUAGAUACCCGGGUAGUCCACGCCGUAAACUAUGAUUACUCGAUGUCGGCGAUAUACUGUCGGUGUCCAAGCGAAAGUGAUAAGUAAUCCACCUGGGGAGUACGAUCGCAAGGUUGAAACUCAAAGGAAUUGACGGGGGCCCGCACAAGCGGUGGAGCAUGUGGUUUAAUUCGAUGAUACGCGAGGAACCUUACCUGGGCUUGAAUGCAUUAUGACCGUCCCGGAAACGGGACUUUCUUCGGACAGAAUGCAAGGUGCUGCAUGGUUGUCGUCAGCUCGUGCUGUGAGGUGUCGGGUUAAGUCCCAUAACGAGCGCAACCCCUAUUCUUAGUUGCCAGCGGGUAAUGCCGGGGACUCUAAGAAACUGCCCGCGUAAGCGGUGAGGAAGGUGGGGAUGACGUCAAAUCAUCACGGCCCUUACGUCCAGGGCUACACACGUGCUACAAUGGUCAGUACAAAGGGCAGCUACCUGGUGACAGGAUGCUAAUCUCGAAAACUGAUCUCAGUUCGGAUCGAAGUCUGCAACUCGUAC
rnacentral:rRNA from 1 species